AUUGAACGCUGGCGGCAGGCCUAACACAUGCAAGUCGAACGGUAACAGGAAGAAGCUUGCUUCUUUGCUGACGAGUGGCGGACGGGUGAGUAAUGUCUGGGAAACUGCCUGAUGGAGGGGGAUAACUACUGGAAACGGUAGCUAAUACCGCAUAACGUCGCAAGACCAAAGAGGGGGACCUUCGGGCCUCUUGCCAUCGGAUGUGCCCAGAUGGGAUUAGCUUGUUGGUGGGGUAACGGCUCACCAAGGCGACGAUCCCUAGCUGGUCUGAGAGGAUGACCAGCCACACUGGAACUGAGACACGGUCCAGACUCCUACGGGAGGCAGCAGUGGGGAAUAUUGCACAAUGGGCGCAAGCCUGAUGCAGCCAUGCCGCGUGUAUGAAGAAGGCCUUCGGGUUGUAAAGUACUUUCAGCGGGGAGGAAGGGAGUAAAGUUAAUACCAUUGCUCAUUGACGUUACCCGCAGAAGAAGCACCGGCUAACUCCGUG
rnacentral:rRNA from 1 species